rnacentral:rRNA from 1 species
GACGAACGCUGGCGGCGUGCUUAACACAUGCAAGUCGAACGGUGAAGCGCCUUCCUUUUUGGUGGGUGUGGAUGAGUGGCGAACGGGUGAGUAACACGUGAGUAACCUGCCCCCUUCUUCUGGAUAACCGCAUGAAAGUGUUGCUACUACGGGAUAUUCUGGGUCUGUCGCAUGAUGGGUGUGGGAAAGAAAUGGUUUCGGUGGGGGAUGGGCCGGCGGCCUAUCAGCUUGUUGGUGGGGUGAUGGCCUACCAAGGCGGAGAUGGCUAGCCGGCCUGGGAGGGUGGACGGACACACUGGGACUGAGACACGGACCAGACUCGGACGGGAGGCAGCAGUGGGGAAUAGUGCACGAUGAGCGCAAGACUGAUCAAGCGAGGGCGAGUGAGGGAUGGAGGCCUUCGGGUUGUGAAUCUCUUUCGCCAGUGACGCAGGCGUGCCUCGUUUGUGCGUCGGUUGACGGUAGCUGGAUAAGAAGCGACGGCUAACUACGUG